GGCGACAUCGUCUAAUAGGUAAGGACAUAUGCCUUUCACGCAUAUAAUAGUGAGUUCAAAUCUCCUUGUCGUCA
rnacentral:tRNA from 1 species